rnacentral:rRNA from 1 species
CUUACAUCUCUUCGGAGCUAGUUUUACGAGGUGCUGCAUGGUUGUCGUCAGCUCGUGCCGUGAGGUGUCGGGUUAAGUCCCAUAACGAGCGCAACCCCUACCUUUAGUUGCCAUCAGGUUAAGCUGGGGACUCUAAAGGAACUGCCUACGCAAGUAGUGAGGAAGGCGGGGAUGACGUCAAAUCAGCACGGCCCUUACGUCCAGGGCUACACACGUGCUACAAUGGCCGAUACAGAGGGCAGCUACCUGGUGACAGGAUGCAAAUCUCCAAAGUCGGUCUCAGUUCGGAUCGGAGUCUGCAACCCGACUCCGUGAAGUUGGAUUCGCUAGUAAUCGCGCAUCAGCCAUGGCGCGGUGAAUACGUUCCCGGGCCUU